CCCUAAAAAGUUCUAAGAGUACAAAGGCUUGGUCCUGGCCUUAUUAUUAACUGUUUCUUAACUUACACAUGCAAGUCUCAGCACACCAGUGAGGACAUCCUUUUUACCUCUAUCAGGUUAAAGGGCUGGCAUCAGGCACAACCACUUGCCCAUGACGCCUAGUUUCACCACACCCCCAAGGGUUUACAGCAGUGAUAAAUAUUAAUUAUAAGCGAUAGCUUGACUUAGUUAAAGAAUAGAGGGCCGGCCAAAUCGGUGCCAGCCGCCGCGGCUACACCUGGGGCCCAAGUUAAUAGUCAUCGGCGUUAAGCGUGAAGAAACUUGCAGAUUAGAGUUCAAUUAAUACCUUAUAUAGUAAAAAGUCUGAUAUUAAGAAAACCAAAAACGAAAGUUACUCUAACUAAAUAUUUUACACGACAGCUAGGGCACAAACUGGGAUUUGAUACCCCACUAUGCCUAGCCGUAAACAAUUAACUCACACCUAUCAACGCCAGGGAACUACGAGCAAUGCUUGAAACCCAAAGGACUUGACGGUUUCCCAACCCCCUAGAGGAGCCUGUUCUAUAAUCGAUGAUCCCCGAUACACCUCACCUCUCCUAGCGUUUCAGUCUGUAUACUUCCGUCUAAAGCUUGCCAUGUGAAUGCCGCCAGCAGGCCUAAUGAUUACCCGUCAAUAAGUCAGGUCAAGGUGCAACUAAAGGAGUGGGAAGUAAUUGGCUACAAUUUCUAAAUUAGAACACACGAAAAUCACGUGAAAUCGUGAUAUGAAGGCGGAUUUAGUAGUAAAAAGAAAAUAGAGAGUUCUUUUUAACUCGGCUCUGGGACGCGUACACACCGCCCGUCACCCUCUUCGAUACUUCUUCCAUCAGUUCAUAACCCUACAUUAUCCCUUAGAAGAGG
rnacentral:ncRNA from 1 species